UACGUAGGGUACGAGCGUUGUCCGGAAUUAUUGGGCGUAAAGAGCUCGUAGGUGGUUGGUCACGUCUGCUGUGGAAACGCAACGCUUAACGUUGCGCGGGCAGUGGGUACGGGCUGACUAGAGUGCAGUAGGGGAGUCUGGAAUUCCUGGUGUAGCGGUGAAAUGCGCAGAUAUCAGGAGGAACACCGGUGGCGAAGGCGGGACUCUGGGCUGUGACUGACACUGAGGAGCGAAAGCAUGGGGAGCGAACAGGAUUAGAUACCCCGGUA
rnacentral:rRNA from 1 species